AAAAACACAAAUAGACAAAGACAGAUUCUCUCUUUUCAUUUCUUUUUCUUUACCACUUUAAUUAAUUCUCUGUCUAUUUCUUAGUAUCCAAAAAUUGAUCACAAAGCAUUUAUAAUCUUGUGUUCAACCCAGUAUUCACCGACUGGUAGAGAAGAAGAAAUAGUUAUUGUCUACCACAUCUAUAUAUACAUACAUAUACAUUUACUUAUAGAGAGAAAAAGUUAUAGAUCUAGGGAGACCAAGAGAAAGAAAAG
rnacentral:lncRNA from 1 species